UGGUGAGUCAUAAUCUUUGUGUUGGUGGAAGGUCCUGCCUCCAUGUUGAUGGCUGCUGACUGACCAGGGUGGUAGUUGCUGAAGGCUGGGAUGGCUGCGGCAAUUUCUUAAAAAUAAGACAACAGUGGGGCUUCCCUGGUGGCGCAGUGGUUAAGGUUCCGCCUGCCAAUGCAGGGGACAUGGGCUCGAGCCCUGCUCCGGGAGGAUCCCACAUGCCAUGGAGCAACUAAGCCCGUGCGCCACAACUACUGAGCCUGCGCUCUAGAGCUCGCAAGCCACAACUACUGAGCCCGCGCGCCUAGAGCCCGUGCUCCGCAACAAGAGAAGCCACCGCAGUGAGAAGCCGGCACACCGCAAUGAAGAGUAGCCCCCGCUCACAACUAGAGAAAAGCCCGCGCACAGCAACAGACCCAACGCAAACAAAAAAAUUAAUUAAUUAAUUUUAAAAAAGAAAAAGACAACAAUGAAGUUUGCCACAUCUACUGACUCUUCCUUUCACAAACGAUUUCCCUGUAGCGCGCAGUGCUGUUUGAUGGCAUUUUACCCACAGAACUGCUUUCAAAAUUGGAGUCAAUCCUCUCAAACCCUGUUGCUGCUUCGUCAACUAUGUGUAUGUAAUAUUCUAAAUCCUUUGUUGUCAUUUCAACAAUCUUCACAGCAUCUUCAACAAGAGUAGAUUCCAUCUUGAGAAACCACUUUCUUUGCUCAUCCAUAAGAAGCAAUUCCUCAUCCAUUCAAGUUUUAUCAUGAGGUUGCAGCAAUUCAGUCACAUCUUCAGGCUCCACUUCUCAUUCUAGUUCUCCUGCUAUUUCCACCACACAUGCCGUUACCUCCUCCACUGAAGUCUUGAACCCCUCAAAGUCAUCCAGGAGGGCUGAAAUCAACUUCUUCCAAACUCUCGUUAAUGUCGAUAUUUUGACUUCUUCCCACUAAUCACAAGUGUUCUUAAUGGCAACCGAAAUGGUGAAUCCUUUCCAGAAGGUUUUCAAUUUACUCUGCCCAGAUCCACCAGAAGAAUCACUAUCUAUGGCAGCUGUAACCUUACAAAAGGUAUUUCUUAAAUAAUAAGACUUGAAAGUCAAAAAUGAUUCUUUGAUCCACGGGCUACAGAACGGAUGUUGUGUUAGCAGGCAUGAAAACAUCAAUCUUGUACAUCUCCAUCCACCUUGGGUGACCAGGUGCAUUGUCAAUGAGCAGUAAUAUUUUAAAAGGAAUCUUUUUUCCUGGGCAGUGGGUCUCAACAGUAAACCAUGUUGUAAACGGAUGUGCUGUCAUCCAGGCUUUGCUGUUCCAUUUAUAGAGAACAGUCAGGGUAGAUUUAGCAUAAUUCUUUUUUUUUGUUUUUUUGCGGUACACGGGCCUCUCACUGUUGUGGCCUCUCCCGUUGCGGAGCACAGGCUCCGGACGCGCAGGCUCAGCGGCCACGGCUCACGGGCCCAGCCGCUCCGCGGCAUGUGGGAUCCUCCUGGACUGGGGCACGAACACGUGUCCCCUGCAUCGGCAGGCGGACUCUCAACCACUGCGCCACCAGGGAAGCCCUGGCUGAUUCAUUUUGUUGUGCAGUGGAGGCUAACAUAACACUGUAAAGCAACCAUACUGCAAUAAAAAUUAAUAAUAAAAAAAAUUACAACAGUAACAUCAAAGAUCACUGAUCACCAUAACAAAUACAAUAGUGAUUAAAAAGUUUGAAAAAUGGCGAGAAUUACCAGAAUGUGACAGAGACAUGAAGUGAGCCAAUGCUACUGGAAAAACGGCACCAACAGACCUACUCGACACAGGGUGGCCACAAACCUUCAACUUGUAAAAAAAAGCACAAUGAAGCCAAAAGACACACAAUGAAACGAGGUAUGCCUAUACUGAUAUCCAGUAUUGGCCAAGAUGUACGGAGACACAGCCUUAUACUGCCGAGAGGGGCUCAAGUUGUUAAGGCAUUUCGGAGGGUAAACGGGCAAGAUCUGCCAGCCUUGGAAACAUCUGUGCCCAAGACGCGGCCUUUGCCACACCUGGGCUUUGCCCCACAGAAAAUCCCACCGGUACCGAAAGAGGACUGAUUAUAAACAGACUGAGUAUAAUAGCAGUGUCUGUGAUUCUGGAAAAGUCAGACACAACCCAAAUGUCCGUCCCUGGGAGGACCAGAGCCGACCCGCCCGACACAAUACUACACAACUGGUCCAUCUACUGACACGGAAAGAUGGACGAGAUGGACUCUUACAGAACAAAAUAAAGCUGCAGAACAGCCCGUAGAACACAAACCAAGCUUCGGAAGUUAAACUACAAUGUUCAAAGAUUAGAGUCUAUGGAACCGAGUAGGAGAACAUAUAUCAGAACGUGCGCAAGUGGGGUUCCCCUGGCAAGUGCGGUUCCCGGAGACCCUGUACGGUUUGCAUCUCAUAAUCGGCGAACUUUGUAAAACUGCGUCAUGCUGUAAUCAGAAAUAAGAGGCAAGACAGAUCCGUAUUUUUCAGAAUUAGCACAGGGAGCAAAAAAACCCCAACCCUUUCCCUGCUCUCCUAUGGCCUGCAGGAUGAAGUGAGAGCUCAUCAGCUCGGUUUUAGAUUGGGUUUUUUCUUUUUCUUUCUUUUUUUUUU